GCCCGGGUGGCUCAGUCCGUCAAGCGUCCGACUUCGGCUCAGGUCACGAUCUCACAGUCCGUGGGUUCGAGCCCCGCCUUGGGCU
rnacentral:tRNA from 1 species